CCAAUAGCGUAUAUUAAAGUUGUUGCAGUUAAAAAGCUCGUAGUUGAAUUUCGGGAUCAAUUUAUUGGUCGUGCUAUUGUACGUACUGGUAUUAUUGAUUUCUACCUUCUGACGAACCAUGAUGUCAUUAAUUUGGUGUCUUGGGGAAUCAGGACUGUUACUUUGAAAAAAUUAGAGUGUUUAAAGCAGGCUCACGCUUGAAUACAUUAGCAUGGAAUAACGAAAUAGGACGUUUGAUUCUAUUUUGUUGGUUUCUAGGAUCGACGUAAUGAUUAAUUGGGAUAGUUGGGGGCAUUAGUAUUCAAUUGUCAGAGGUGAAAUUCUUGGAUUUAUUGAAGACUAACUACUGCGAAAGCAUUUGCCAAGGAUGUUUUCAUUAAUCAAGAACGAAAGUUAGGGGAUCGAAGACGAUCAGAUACCGUCGUAGUCUUAACCAUAAACUAUGCCGACUAGGGAUCGGAUGAUGUUAAUUUUUUAAUGACUCAUUCGGCGCCUUACG
rnacentral:rRNA from 1 species